GUGUGACAUGAGAGGAGAGAAGGCUAGCACUCACCUUGCUAAGGAGGGGGGGAGAGUUGUUUUGGCCUUAUCAACACACACAGGCUACGUCUACACUGGCAUGAUUUUCC